AAAAAUUUGGGGGCCAUGGCCACCCAUAAGCUCCACCACUGUUCUUCACCUUCCUUCAUCUCUCACCGUCACCGCCACUCGCCAUCGUCGUCUCGUGCGCUCACCAUCGUCGCCUUGGGCGCUCACUGUCGCUGCUCCCAAUCGUCGCAAGCCUCGUGCGCUCAUCAUCGUCGCUCACCAUCGUGCACUCACUAGGUAAUCAUUCUCUAAUUCAAUCUCUAUCUUCUUUUUCUCGCUCAUUACCUCACUUCUUCUCUCGUUUCAGUGUCGAAGAAGGUGUGUGUGGCUAUGAUGAUGAUGAUGAACAACAAUGGCCAAACGAGACAGAGAUGGUAUGUUUCGUUUUUCCUAAAUUUGGUUCUGUGAAUUGGGG
rnacentral:lncRNA from 1 species